UACGAAGGGGGCUAGCGUUGUUCGGAAUCACUGGGCGUAAAGCGCACGCAGGCGGAUCGUUAAGUCAGGGGUGAAAUCCCGAGGCUCAACCUCGGAACUGCCUUUGAUACUGGCGAUCUUUGAGUCCGGGAGAGGUGAGUGGAACUCCGAGUGUAGAGGUGAAAUUCGUAGAUAUUCGGAAGAACACCAGUGGCGAAGGCGGCUCACUGGCCCGGUACUGACGCUCAGGUGCGAAAGCGUGGGGGGCAAACAGG
rnacentral:rRNA from 1 species